rnacentral:rRNA from 1 species
AAUUCUUGGACCGUCGCAAGACUAACCUAAGCGAAAGCAUUUGCCAAGGAUGCUUCCAUUAAUCAAGAACGAAAGUUAGAGGUUCGAAGGCGAUCAGAUACCGCCCUAGUUCUAACCGUAAACGAUGCCAGCUAGCGAUCCGUCGAAGUUCCUCCGAUGACUCGACGGGCAGCUUCCGGGAAACCAAAGCUUUUAGGUUCCGGGGGAAGUAUGGUUGCAAAGCUGAAACUUAAAGGAAUUGACGGAAGGGCACCACCAGGAGUGGAGCUUGCGGCUUAAUUUGACUCAACACGGGAAACCUCACCAGGCCCGGACACUGGAAGGAUUGACAGAUUGAGAGCUCUUUCUUGAUUCAGUGGGUGGUGGUGCAUGGCCGUUCUUAGUUGGUGGAGCGAUUUGUCUGGUUAAUUCCGAUAACGAACGAGACUCUAGCCUGUUAACUAGGCGAACACAAUUCCGGCAUCAAUUCAAAAAAGCUGCCGGUGGC